AUUCAGCUGACGAGUCCCAAACAGGGUGAAAUGCGUGUUAUCCUGAAC
rnacentral:hammerhead_ribozyme from 1 species